CCAACCCAGGGAUCAAACCCAGGUCUCCCACAUUGCAGGUGGAUUCUUUAUAGUCUGAGCCCCCAGGGAAGCCCUACCAAACUACUAUAGAUCCUUCAAUAAAGCUUUCUAAGACUCAGGACAAGGAACUCAGAUAUGUGACAGCCCUGUCUCAGACCUCCAACCCACCCUCCCAGGGUCCCUUCUACUCCAUCAACCCAGCCCCAAGUUGGAGCUUCCCUUCCACUUGGGUCUCCAUUCCCCAAGAAGUCGUCUACUUGGCACAUGAGAGCUAUAUGUAAACUAGAUCCAUUACCACUUGACUUCUUAAUUUUUUUUUUAAUUUCACUUAUGUGGCCAGAAGGGGAAAGUGUGAUGAGCUUUAGAUCAACACCCUGUUAGCAGGAUUCAGACCAAAGUACACAGUUCACACUUAGCUCAAACCAUAUUUAGCAAAACUGAUGGUCGGCACUUGACAUUAAAAAGGUCUAUAACAGCAGAUUGUCUAGAUUAAUUAGCUCUCUGAAAAGGACGGACACCUUCCCACCCCCCACACCCUUGACUUUUUUUCUAGACCGAUUUGACAUUUGUGCAUAAUAUGAAGAAAGAUUGUUAAGCCUGUAACGUGGCUGCUAAGAGGCUUCAGUUCAUGUUUGCUAAUCUCCUGUAUGGUGAAACACUGGCACCAGGACAAACCCUCAUUCACAUUGGAACAAAGCGCUAGUUAUGUGUGUUGAAAUUCCUUCGAGAAAAUGUCUUGCAGGCCAUUGGGGGAGUGCAUGAAUGCUGGAAAUACUUCACCAAGUGUUGCUCAACAUCCUGGGAAGACGGUCUCCUGGCAUCUGGACGCUCACCCUGGAGACGGGUUGCAGCCCUCUGGGGCACGUGGGUCUGGUGAGCCCUGAGUCCAAGGAACUGUCAUCAUGAGAUACAGAAGAGGAGAGAGACACACAGAGAAGGAGAUGAGAAGCAGGAGCCUGAGAAAGAAGAAGAUGGAGGCAGAGACUGGAGCUACACAGCCAUGCUGAACCUAGAGCCUGUUACACAGAAUGAAAAUCACUCCAGGCUGACCCCAUGCUAAUUACUAGGGUUCACAGUCUUAGGAAUUGCAAAGGAGGGAAACAGACAUCUGCACAGAGCCUUGGUGCCUGUAUUCACCCAAGAAUCUCCACAUCCAGGUGAGAAGAACAUAAGUUAAAGCACAGUAAACUGCAAAGGACCACACGACUAACAGACGCACGAUGCUGUGUUAGGUUCUCGGUGUUACAACGGCAUGUAAGUGCUUUCCGCUUUUCAACUAGGUUUUAGACGCACCAAAUGCAUAUUCACCUUCCUGUUUACUAUACAACCUGCAAUCCUCCCUACAACGCUGGUAGUUAUGGGGAAGUUAUGAAGAAAAGUGUGCACCUUCUGAAUUUUGCUUCCUGUUCGAAAGUCCAUUUCCAUGUCACAGAGAAUGUGUUAUUGGGAAGCAAUAGACCAUUCAUGUUGAGAGUCAGAGCCGCAGGAUGAGAUUAGCGUGAUUGAGACUUAGCAGGAAAUCCUGAACUGAACUGUCUGUUUUAGUUGGUUUGUGAAUUUGGAUAAGUUCCAUCUCAAUCUUAGACACUCCGAUAGGCUCUGGGGAUUAAAAAAAAAAAAAAAAAAAGAAACAGUUCCUGUCUUUCUGGAGCUGCCAGUAUGGGGGUAGAGACAGAAAUGGCAGCAGAAAAAUGACAUCUGUCUUGGCAUGUCUUAGAAGGUGGCACAGUUCAGAGGAAGGAGCUGGUGGUGGCAGCUGACGCUCAUCAGAGUGGGGGUUUGCCGGGAGGAGUAGGACAAGGAGAGUCUAGCCGUGGGAAGAGUUUUGAGCAAAGGUAGAGAAAGGAAGGGGAGGAGGGCAGGCACAGCACUGGGUGAGGGCCCACAGCCAAAGGCUCUGCACAGACCGGGGUGUCCCUCGGAGCCGGGUGGAGAUCCGAGCAGAGCAGCACAUGAUGCUGCUAAUAAGGAAUGGCUCUGCCUUCUCUUAUUCUGCAAAAUAAGAGAAGCAUCUGGUUUAGGAACACCAUGGGGAUUGCCAGGGUAAUCGCACG